UACGUAGGGGGCGAGCGUUGUCCGGAAUUAUUGGGCGUAAAGGGCGUGUAGGCGGCCGAUCAAGUCAGGUGUGAAAUUCCAGGGCUCAACCCUGGACGUGCACUUGAAACUGGUUGGCUUGAGUGCAGAAGAGGAAAGUGGAAUUCCCAGUGUAGCGGUGAAAUGCGUAGAUAUUGGGAGGAACACCAGUGGCGAAGGCGACUUUCUGGUCUGUAACUGACGCUGAGGCGCGAAAGCUAGGGGAGCAAACAGG
rnacentral:rRNA from 1 species